rnacentral:rRNA from 1 species
UACGUAGGGGGCAAGCGUUGUCCGGAUUUAUUGGGCGUAAAGAGCUCGUAGGCGGUGUGUCACGUCGGCCGUGAAAACCUGCAGCUUAACUGUGGGCGUGCGGUCGAUACGGGCAUCACUGGAGUUCGGCAGGGGAGACUGGAAUUCCUGGUGUAGCGGUGAAAUGCGCAGAUAUCAGGAGGAACACCGGUGGCGAAGGCGGGUCUCUGGGCAGUAACUGACGCUGAGGAGCGAAAGCGUGGGGAGCGAACAGG